AACUGUGUUCCAAAAUUGUGGUCGGUUCAGGACAUGUGGAAAUUUACCUUUAGUUUCCUCAACGGCGAAUGAUUUCGCCCAGUUGUCCAAUGACAAAGGAACAUAAUUGAGCGUAUCCCGAAAGUUAAUGCCAAACUCCCGAUCGCGCAGGUGCGUGAUUUGGGAACCUUUCAUGAUAACGUCAGGCGCUUGACCUUUCUGAAGCAGCCAUUUUAAAAUAAAAUAGCCAUCGAACCUAGAAAGCCCACCACUUUAUCCGUAAGCUGUAUACUUUCAACGUAUUUCAUGUUGUGUGAAACAGAAGAAGAACUAAAAUUUCUUACCCUCUAAAGUUAUGUGCCAAACAAAAGAAUCCAGCAUGCUUUUCUUGGAAAAUAAAUUCACAGACAUCGCCUGCAAUGUCUUUGCCAAUGUUGCUGAUGUCCUCGGGAAAUUGGCGGGUUUCAAUGGGCUUUCCAUCUUCUUGCACUUGUAUUACACAAAAUUUGGGAUGUGCUUUCCACUACCGUCGGGGUACGUCUCGAAAUCAAAGUACAUGAAACUAGCAGAUUUGUGCUUGGCUAAUACUUUGUCGUCAAGUUUCUCGGGUUUAAUAUAGCAGUCAUGGUGCUCCGGUAAUACAUAACACAGGCAAACCGAACAAUAAAUUUCGCCGCAUACAUGGUCUGUCCCGUAUCCUCGUUUCACGUUCGUCUUUAUGAAUGCUGAGCAAUCUAUGCAGACCUUGAAUUUUUCGCAAAUGCUUUUCUUUUUGUUAUGGUUUGUGCUUUUCGCUGUCUUUGCAAGGUGGUGGUUAAAACACUCGUUGUUUCUAAAGCCCGUUCGAUUGCAUCCCGCACAGUAUCGCGCAAAGUUUGCUUCGAGCUCACACCUUUCGCGCAAGCAAAGCUUGCAGGUAUAUUUACAGCGAUGAUCACCUUCGUGAGAGUACCCCUGAUUACAAUGAAAACACCAUUUGCUUUUUUCGUACCACCCUUGAAGAGAUGUUAAAACGUCAAAAUGGUUGGCAUAAUACAAUAGCAUUAAGCGUUUUUCCCUGAAUUCGCCAGCAAAGAUAAUGCUGUUAAGCUGUUCCAGUCCAACAAUUAUGAUUUGAUAAUCGCUUAGUAACUUUUGAAAAGUCUCUACGUCGUCCAGGCUGUAGCGCCGCUCCGUCAGGCCUGCAGCUAUUACCAGCUGUUUCGCCAAUAAUGUCUGCUGAUCCUUAUGCUGCUUUUCUGGGUGCUUAUGUGCCCUGGUGUCACGUAGCGUUGAAUACAGCUGCAGAUCGUCAUCUGCUAAGGCUUUAGCCGUUACUAGGGACCGUGGUAAACAUAAAUUAUCGUCGUUCUUUAUGCGCACGAUAGACAUCUUGUUUUUCAGUAGCCUUUUAACGCUUUCAGGAAUCACUAGAUUGUCAUUACCUCCACCAUCCGGCGUUUCUGUGUACUGGACUUCAAUCCUGAAGCUUUCAUCCAAGCGAAAGCUUGUUGAACUUUGCAUCACCCGUUCCACGCGCGCCAUGAUACGAUCCACAGUUAGUUCGUCCCGCCGCAUUAACGGUGUCCAAAUAGGAAUCUUCUUUCGCAAAUGAUCGCUGUAUAAUUGCACGCGUACCAUAUACCAAGGCUGAAUUUUGUCUACCAAAAUUCUGUUAAGCAGUUCUUCAAAAAUGCUUUCUAUUACUCCACAGAGGCGUGAAAACGGAACAUCAAACAACUCGGGCGCGAUGCGGCACUGAAAAACCGCAAGUGCAGUCUUCCAUUUCUGAGAAUAAGUAUCUGCUACCUGCUCAAGUAGCAGAUUAUCUUCUGAAAUGCUAGGGAUGCUACCUAAGCCAUCUUCUUCUUCUUCUUCUUCGUGGUUGUCAGAAUGCUCAUCCAUUUUUCGCUCAAUAAACACAACUUGUAAUGUGUACACAGCUAAUGAACUCAAGAGACUCCUUCAAAUUAUGAUUACCCUGCUGAACGACGUUCACGGCUUUAUAUACUUGUUAUUCUUAUUAAAAUCGGUCAAGUUCCAACACGCCUUAACUAUUAACAGCAAAUCGUUAUCAAGGACUGCCCACAACCCGUGAAAAAAAGCUAACUGAAGACAAAGUCUAUGACCAAAGGUUACAAAUAAAGCUAAAACAUUUUUUUCCACGAAUAUAAGAAUACAAAAAUUUUUGGCUUAAAAUAUGAUUGAAAAGUUUUUUGUUUUAAAAUAAGGCGAAAAAAUUUUUCGCAUUAAAAUAAGGCAGAAAAUGUUUUUCGGGUACAAAUAACGCUAAUAAGAUUCACACUAAAUACGAAUACAAACAUUUUUGGGCUUACAGUUAGAUCGAAAAGUUUCUCGUUUCAAUAUAAGGCUCAAAAGCUUUUCGCAUUAAAAUGAGCGUGAAAGGUUUUUCGCAAUAAAUUAAGUGUUCAACGUUUUUAAACUUAAAAUUAGGUGAAAAAGUUUUUCGGUGUAAAAUAGGGCGGAAAAAGUUUAUCGCAUUAAAAGAAGCGUAAAAAGUUUUUUGCAUUAAAUUAUGUGUACAAAGUUUUUUGCAUUAAAUUACGUGUAAAUAGUUUUUCGGUGUAAAAUAGGGCGGAAAAAGUUUUUCGCAUUAAAAUAAGCGUAAAAAGUUUUUUGCAUUAAAUUAUGUGUACAAAGUUUUUUGCAUUAAAUUAUGUGUACAAAGUUUUUUGCAUUAAAUUAUGUGUAAAAAGUUUUUCGGUGUAAAUAGGGCGGAAAAAGUUUUUCACAUUAAAAUAAGCGUAAAAAAUUUUUUGCAUUAAAUUAUGUGUACAAAGUUUUUUCCAUUAAAUUAUGUGUAAAAAGUUUUUCGGUGUAAAAUAGGGCGGAAAAAGUUUUUCGCAUUAAAAUAAGCGUAAAAAGUUUUUUUGCAUUAAAUUAUGUGUAAAAAGUUUUUCGGUGUAAAUAGGGCGGAAAAAGUUUUUCGCAUUAAAAUAAGCGUAAAAAGUUUUUUGCAUUAAAUUAUGUGUACAAAGUUUUUUGCAUUAAAUUAUGUGUAAAAAGUUUUUUGCAUUAAAUUAUGUGUAAAAAGUCUUAUCAGCGUCCCACAUCUAAAAGCCGGUCGAGACGAGUAUAUUACUACCCAUGCUUCAUGUUCGAUUUUGUGGAGCUGUAUAUGGACUGCAUCCGUGACAUUGGCAGCGCAUAUCCGGCAUUGUAUGAUCCAUGGAGCGACAUAAACAGAAAGGCCUUGAUACCGUUGUCCUGCUCACGACUCACGAAUGCAUGCCGGCUACGCGUGUCAGCUAGUUUUGCCUGCGAGUGCUUUUGUACAGGAUGCGCGCUAGGAAAUGCAAGUGUUGCCACUGCCAACCGUGGCUUCGGGUAAUUGCUCUGUCUGAAUACAUCGGUCGACAAUUAUGGGCAAGCGUGACGUCACCGGAUAACGGUGUCGACCAGGUGUCACACUGGCGGUAUCCUUAAAGAACGUGAAGCGACAGAUUUUACCUGUGGUACGAAACAUCCCAUAUAUAUGGAUAGCGCAGACGCCCGGGCGCCCAGCUUGAUUGUGACGUGGAAGCGCAGAGAUCUGGAGCUUCAUACCGCAGAAGUCUUGGUCCGGACAGGAGGAGACUGCGCGCACGCUCCGUAGUGAGCCCCGCUGUCUUAGCCAUAUCAACUAGGUGAUAAUUCUCGCCAAAGAAACUGUCAUAGGUAUUUUCUUCCGGCUCCCCAUGACUGAUGGGAUCUAAAACGUUGCUGCCACGUGAUCCUGAAAGCAUCGGCAUGCAGAUAAACGGCACCGGGAAGCGAAAAAUGGAACAUACCAGCGUGUGUAACUGUAUACGGAUAUGGUAAAAUUUUCAGAUUUUCACUGAAAAAUUGUUAAAAGAAAGAAAGCAACAACUUAGUCUGCGUUAAAAUUUGUUGCAUUUUGCCAUGUUCGGUUUUUGAACGCCACGU